rnacentral:rRNA from 1 species
CAGCCGCCGCGGUAAUACGGAGGGUGCAAGCGUUAAUCGGAAUUUCUGGGCGUAAAGCGUGCGUAGGCGGUUUGUUAAGUCUGUUGUGAAAUCCCCGGGCUCAACCUGGGAAUGGCAAUGGAUACUGGCAAGCUAGAGUGUGUCAGAGGAUGGUGGAAUUCCCGGUGUAGCGGUGAAAUGCGUAGAGAUCGGGAGGAACAUCAGUGGCGAAGGCGGCCAUCUGGGACAACACUGACGCUGAGGCACGAAAGCGUGGGGAGCAAACAGGAUUAGAUACCCCCGUAGUCCCUGUCUCUUAUAC